AUUAAACGCUGGCGGCAGGCCUGACACAUGCAAGUCGAGCGGAUGAGGGGAGCUUGCUCCCUGAUUUAGCGGCGGACGGGUGAGUAAUGUAUAGGGAGCUGCCCGAUAGAGGGGGAUACCAGUUGGAAACGACUGUUAAUACCGCAUAAUGUCUACGGACCAAAGUGUGGGACCUUCGGGCCACAUGCUAUCGGAUGCACCUAUAUGGGAUUAGCUAGUUGGUGGGGUAACGGCUCACCAAGGCGACGAUCCCUAGCUGGUUUGAGAGGAUGAUCAGCCACACUGGAACUGAGACACGGUCCAGACUCCUACGGGAGGCAGCAGUGGGGAAUAUUGGACAAUGGGCGCAAGCCUGAUCCAGCCAUGCCGCGUGUGUGAAGAAGGCCUUCGGGUUGUAAAGCACUUUCAGCGAGGAGGAAGGGAUGUAUGUUAAUAGCAUGCAUUUUUGACGUUACUCGCAGAAGAAGCACCGGCUAACUCUGUGCCAGCCGCCGCAGUAAAAC
rnacentral:rRNA from 1 species